CACCACACGCAACCAACCUUUUGAUGGACAAAAGGAAUCAAAACCUUAGCAAUAUCCAUCAAAACAAAAGGAUCAAAACCUUGAGAAAUUCUAAGGUUGACAAAACUUAUUUUUCCUAAAUCCAAACCUCAAUCCAAAUCCAUGUUGUGAUCAUUCUCUCCGCAGGCCAAUCCAACCUUCUUCAUCACCAACAGCUUCAAGGUGAUUUGAUUGGUUGGGGCCUAGGAGGAGGAGGAAAAUCUCAAAAUCACAUAUGGGGAAGCAUCCAAGAUGUUGUUGUGGAGAUGAUGGUGAUCAAUCCCCUAUUAACAACGGAGAAAGAAGUAGGCGUAAUCGGAAAAGAGCAUCAUCAUUGUGUCAUUGUCCUGCAGUUUCUUCAAUAUUUAGAAGGAUAGGAAGAUGUAUGUUUGUGACUUGUUUCCCUGUCAUACAAUGUUUUGGAUUAGAUGAAUGUAGACACCACCACCACCAUCACCAUCACCAUAAACAUUUUGCCGAGUUUACAUGAUAGCAAUCUCAAUUAAAUUCUUUUAGUAUUAGAUCGUUUAG